GGGGGUGACUGGUUUCGACAGGGUGGGUCUGAGAUGGGCAGCAGGCCGUGGUCUCCUCGCCACGUUAAACAGGGGUACCGUCAAAUUGAAUUGACGACAACAACUCUUUUGAGCCUCAGCUGGCUCUCGCCGCUUAAUUACUAGCAGGCGCGCCAAUCCGGGGGUCGCUCCCGUCCCCGGUGCGGUGUCAUCUUAGGGAGAUGCUCGGGCGGACGUAGCCGGUAUGCCGCCCGAAAAGACCGAACCGGCUGGGGCGCCAAGCGCGGGUAACCGGGUGCGCGGCGCCCGAGAUCCAACCGGUAACUGAGCCUGGAGACACCUGUCAGGGGUCUGCUUUGGACCGGAGUUCGACUCUCCGCACCUCCACCA
rnacentral:tmRNA from 1 species